UUUCAGGCUGCUCUCACACAGGCUCUCCAAAGUUUUAAGAAUUAAUUUCCAGGUAGCUAUUUAAAAACAAAAAGCCAAAUAAUUAAAAAAGAACAACCCUUCCUCCUCUUGACUGCUUCCCUAGCCUACCCCCCCAGACAGAAAGAAAAUUAGGGAAGAAGAAAGGAAAUGCACAGCAAUAAAGUGCAGGAAAUGGCAAUAUUUUGAAUACGAGAUCCUCUGUGCUGCUGGCCUAGUCACUACAACUUUAUUGGGAGGACUCACAAACAACGGUCACCUGAAAAAUCAGGCUGGUUUUGGUGAAACGUGAAGGUCUAAACUGCUGAAGGUUGAGUAUACCCAACUGCAACCUUAAAGCUGUGCUCUGCAUAAUGCUAUGUGCUCUGAAAAAUCUCAUCUUUUGCAUCACAGAUCAG
rnacentral:lncRNA from 1 species